CAAGAUUUCUCUCUUGAGUUUUCUUUAGAAGUUGUUUUAACAAUCUUGUGAUUGUGGGAGCCAUCUUCAACCUUCUUCUUGCCAUUGAUAUUCUUUGGAGGGGAGAUUAGAGCCGUUUGAAGGGAGUUGUGAGAUAUUUCGAGAUUUCAAGGCUUCUUAGGACUUAUCUUUUAAUUUCUUACUGUCAAUUCUUUCUUUAUUUCUACUUGUGCUGAAUCAUUAUCUAAUCUAUUUUCUGUUCUUAUUGUGUUUUCA
rnacentral:lncRNA from 1 species